CCCUUCAGAGGGGGACAACAGUUGGAAACGACUGCUAAUACCGCAUACGAUCCAAUCUCGGCAUCGAGGAUGGAUGAAAGGUGGCCUCUAUUUAUAAGCUAUCACUGAAGGAGGGGAUUGCGUCUGAUUAGCUAGUUGGAGGGGUAACGGCCCACCAAGGCGAUGAUCAGUAGCCGGUCUGAGAGGAUGAACGGCCACACUGGAACUGAGACACGGUCCAG
rnacentral:rRNA from 1 species